UAAUUUGGAUACAGAACUCACAGUGGAGCA
rnacentral:piRNA from 1 species